rnacentral:rRNA from 1 species
ACUUUGAAGAGAGAGUUCAAGAGUACGUGAAACUGCCCAGAGGCAAACGGGUGGGCCCUCGAAGUUUCUUGCGGGUGGAUUCAGUCAGGAGUCUACGAUCCUCUCUCUCGGUACGUGACCUUUCGAUGGAAAGGGACUCCGGUCUGAGGCGUGACUCAUAGAGGGCCUGACGCAUUUCCAACCCGCACGAAGGACGCCGCAGCCGGUUGGGCAGUGUCGGCCAUGAGGUGGGGCAGUGGCAGUAGGCCGUUUCUCGCCGUAUAGGCGUUUGCCGGUUGUUUAGCCAGCCCUUCCGUGGCGCGACACCCGACCGAGGUGGAGGAGGUUUCCACUACAUGGAUCCUCGCCGUCUAAUCCCGCCCAAGUGGCGAGAGCGGGCCGGCGGACAGGUGAGUUGCUGCGCUAUACCGCUUUAGUCUGGGACAGGGUGGUGCGUAACUUCCGCCGGUGGUCCGUCCCGGUUAAACCGCAGCAAGAUGUGGGGAUGGCUUGUGGCGAGUAGGUCGGUCACCCACCCGACCCGUCUUGAAACACGGACCAAGGAGUCUAACAUGUGCGCAAGUCAUGGGGUCUUGAUCAGGCCCAGAGGCGUAAUGAAGGUGAGAUGCCUCGCCUCUCCAAGGUGGAGGCAAGUUGGGAUUUCCCGGGAAGCCCGAGGAAAGCACCAACGACCCGCCCGAUCUCAAAUUGAUUUGAGCGGACGGAGUUUGAGCGCACACGUUGGGACCCGAAAGAUGGUGAACUAUGCCUGGGCAGGACGAAGUCAGAGGAAACUCUGGUGGAGGUCCGCAGCGGUUCUGACGU